CGGGGUAAAAUAAGCUUUCUUGCACUUUACUUGGAAACAACUCUGGUAAAUGUUUAGGACUUAAUUUGUACAUUUAACACAACAAAAUCAUCAUUAGCCAUCAUAGUUGUUGUCUUUGGUCAAUUUUUAGCUAUACUUAACUAUUGCCCUUGUUCCAAAUUAACUGACGCAGCUUUGGUCAGAUUUGGUCUAGAUACACUUGUAUUGUAUCUAGAAAAAAGCUGUGCCACUUAAUUUGGAAUGGAUGGAGUAAUUAGUAACUAAGUUAAUCAACUUCCUAUGCUUGAUAGGAGUAUGGUUGGUUUCAUAGGGUAAGUGGUCUCCCAUGUCUCAUCCGACAGAAGCAUGUUUCCCUUGUGGUCAGAUGCUCUUGGCUCUUCUUGAUAACUCUUGUAUAAUCUAACGAUCUCUAUACCAAUGAGGUGUUUUGCAUGCUAGCCAGGUCAUGGCCACCAUGGUGCAUGCAGAAUUGGAGAGACGGAAUGGAGUAGUGACUGUUGCUAUGCUGUUGUUGCUAAGAAGAUGGAUGAGUUUUUCCUGGCAUACAUGCUAAGACAUCUCAAGAUGGGGAUUAUGCCUUCGAACGAUGAUGUUAAUGGUGAUCAUUUUGUCUGGCGCUGCUGUAUGUUUUCUUUACCAAAUGGACGGGAUUUCCGCGUACAUCUCAAGGAUUCAGUGAUAUGGAUGAUGUUUUGGCAAGCAGCAAUCACAUACUUGUGAACAUACACGUCAACAUCAA